rnacentral:rRNA from 1 species
AUGAGCUCGGUUGAGGAAUUCGGCGGCACCGAGGACGAAUUCGAUACGAUUGACCUGUCAGAAAACAUGAUUAUCAAGCUUGGGAACGUUCCUUGUCUGAAUCGCUUAGGAACUCUAGUUGCUAGUCACAACAGAAUCAACCACAUCUGUUCAAAUAUUGGUGAACUUCUACCAAAUCUGCAUACAUUAGUGCUCAUGAACAAUGAUAUCACAAGUCUUGCGGAGAUUGACCCUCUUGCUGCUCUCCCAAAGCUGAAAUCUCUCUACUUAUUAGAGAAUCCUGUCACUGAGAAGCCAGAUUACAGGUUUUAUGUGAUCCACGGGUUGAAACAUUUGAUGUCACUGGACUUCGAGAAAGUGAAACCACAGGAGAGAACCACAGCAGCACAUAAGUUCCACUCAAAGGAGGCACAGGAAGAGGUAAAGAAGACAUUUGCCAAAGCUUAUACUCCAAUGAAGCCAGUGGGUGCUCAAUAUAUAACAGAGAAGUCAUGCCCUAAAGCAGUCUCUCCAGUACCAUCUACAAAGGCUGCUAUUCUGAGCUAUCAGACACUCAAGGAAAUUGGCAAGAUCAAAACUGUAUUGAGCACUGGCCAGAUGGCUGCUGAAUUUGCUUCCUUCAAGCCUGACAUUGAUAUGGCUGAAGCCUUGGAGAAAACUGACAAGAUAAAGGGUCAGAAUCACGAGAAUAGGGCUGAUGAGCAGAUGCCAGAUGAAGAAAGCACCCUAAUUCAAGAGAUUUUUGGGAUGUCUGUCUCUUCCCCUCUCUUACUGACACAUACAUGCAUCUGA